ACCUUGCGCUGAAGUGACAGUUGUUACGGGACGGGAUGGGGUGGGGUGGGGGUGGGGGGACACUGGAGGCUGCAACCAUUUACUUCUUAAGCUGUCAACCCAGUUUCAUCCAGAAACUUCCAACCCGUGGAAAACCUCCGUGGCUUGGUUUGGCUCUACUCAAGGAAUAAACCUUUUAAGUGUUACUUUAAACUGAAAUAGAUAGGACGAAUUUUGUAAUUAAAUACAGGUCAGUCGGUGUUCUAAAAGUAGUGGUAGAUUGCAAAGCCUUCAUCUAUUUUAGUUAAGAACUUCGGAGGUGCCAGGGACAUGCAUUUAAGAGUCACUUCGCAUUGAUGGAGACAGACAAAACACUUGGUUUAAGGUGGCCUGAAGAUGUCUCAGGAGCUAGAGAGAUUGGCAUUUUGUUCCCGUACAGUACAAGCUGUUUGAAGGUAAAGAUGACUUCUCACUUUAGCUGUUUCAUGUAAGUCUCUGGGGGUACUUCCAUUCCAAAGGUUUGUUCUUUGGUUGAUACCUUCAUUCAACAAGUAUUUAUCAAGCGUUUAAAUUGCAUCAAAUGUUGGACCUGAAGAAAAUAAUUUUUACAAUGUGCUGAUAAAUUGGCUCAAGACAGUAGAUUAGGCAGUUCUGACGGGGAGAUGAUCAUUGUCCCUGUGAGGACUGAUUAGAGCCAAGCAUGAAGUUAUUCUCAGACAACACAUGAAUGCACUGGGAAACAUCUCCUGCUAGCUGAGGCCUGGACUAGGGAAACCAUCCCUCCUUAGGAGAUAAGUGACCAGUUAGCUUGAGGGGACUUCGCCGUGAGUAGUUGAGAGCCUGGAGAGAAAGAACUCAGAGGUGAGGAAGCAGGUCCGCUUUGAGCAGUGGAAGGAGACCAAGCAAGCUAAGGCUUUGGUGCUUCCUGGACUCGCAGGUGAAGAAGUCCCGAAGACACGGAGCUGUCUCAGAGACUUGGAGCUUGUGAGGAGAAGGCAAUGCUUUAAGGUAAUGCUGCUGGAAGAAGUCACCAGUCUGCAUCACGGGCGGCAACAAUAACGAUCCCACGCCGGACUUAGCUGAGCCCGUGGACCCUGGGAACUCCAUAACUUCAUUGACAUGACUCAUGUAUUUGGCAGGAUGUAUACAAGCAGCCAUGAGAAAAGGAAACCUUAAAACAAGAGACUGCACAAAAGGGCAGCAAAGACAAGAUGGGCCACUGUAACCAGUCAGAGGCAGUAGGUGCGCAAGGACAGGGAGAAUGUUGGGAAGCAUUCACUGGGGUUGCCAAAUGGAAUGUGACUCACCUCAACAGGAAGUGAAUGGAACUGUGUCACCAGGUCAUCCGCAGCAGUCGCUAUACCAAUAAGAGCUACGACCUUUUCAGGCCGUGCAACGGCAGCAUGCAGCAUGAGCCAUCCUCCAAAGCUGGAUCCGACCAGUAUCUACAGACAAACACGUAUGGCUUUAAAGAGGAUUCUCAUACUUGUCUAUAAAGAGAAUGCUUUAAAAGAAAUGUAUGGACUUGCAUUUUUUAUAACCACGCAGAUCCCAGACUUCUAGACUUUUAACAUGUAACACAAAGUCAAAUUCAAUUAUAAAUUGUUUUUUUCUCCUCUGUUCUGGCUGUGCUGGAACUUUCUUUGUAACCUAGGCUGGCCUCAAACUCAGAGAUCUACCUGCCUCUGCCUCCCAAUAAAACUUUUGCAAAGCCA